GACGAACGCUGGCGGCGUGCUUAACACAUGCAAGUCGAACGGAAAGGCCCUGCUUUUGUGGGGUGCUCGAGUGGCGAACGGGUGAGUAACACGUGAGUAACCUGCCCUUGACUUUGGGAUAACUUCAGGAAACUGGGGCUAAUACCGGAUAGGAGCUCCUGCUGCAUGGUGGGGGUUGGAAAGUUUCGGCGGUUGGGGAUGGACUCGCGGCUUAUCAGCUUGUUGGUGGGGUAGUGGCUUACCAAGGCUUUGACGGGUAGCCGGCCUGAGAGGGUGACCGGCCACAUUGGGACUGAGGUAGGGCCCAGACUCCUACGGGAGGCAGCAGUGGGGAAUAUUGCACAAUGGGCGGAAGCCUGAUGCAGCAACGCCGCGUGCGGGAUGACGGCCUUCGGGUUGUAAACCGCUUUCGCCUGUGACGAAGCGUGAGUGACGGUAAUGAGUAAAGAAGCACCGGCUAACUACGUG
rnacentral:rRNA from 1 species